GACGAACGCUGGCGGCGUGCCUAAUACAUGCAAGUUGAGCGAUGAAGAUUGGUGCUUGCACCAAUUUGAAGAGCAGCGAACGGGUGAGUAACGCGUGGGGAAUCUGCCUUUGAGCGGGGACAACAUUUGGAAACGAAUGCUAAUACCGCAUAACAACUUUAAACAUAAGUUUUAAGUUUGAAAGAUGCAAUUGCAUCACUCAAAGAUGAUCCCGCGUUGUAUUAGCUAGUUGGUGAGGUAAAGGCUCACCAAGGCGAUGAUACAUAGCCGACCUGAGAGGGUGAUCGGCCACAUUGGGACUGAGACACGGCCCAAACUCCUACGGGAGGCAGCAGUAGGGAAUCUUCGGCAAUGGACGAAAGUCUGACCGAGCAACGCCGCGUGAGUGAAGAAGGUUUUCGGAUCGUAAAACCCUGUUGGUAGAGAAGAACGUUGGUGAGAGUGGAAAGCUCAUCAAGUGACGGUAACUACCCAGAAAGGGGCGGCUAACUACGUG
rnacentral:rRNA from 1 species